rnacentral:misc_RNA from 1 species
GUGAAUUUUAGGGUGCUCUCUUUUCAUCAAGAGAGGCCUGACCUCCACUCUCCAACACUGUGCACAUAUGGCGAGUUUUUUGUAGACGGAGCCGGAAGGCAAAGUCUUAUCUAAACUUGCGGCUUUACCUUUAAACACCAAGUUAAAGAAUGUAACAAAUUAUAACAAAAA